GACGAACGCUGGCGGCGUGCUUAACACAUGCAAGUCGAACGGAAAGGCCCUGCUUUUGUGGGGUGCUCGAGUGGCGAACGGGUGAGUAACACGUGAGUAACCUGCCCUUGACUUUGGGAUAACUUCAGGAAACUGGGGCUAAUACCGGAUAGGAGCUCCUGCUGCAUGGUGGGGGUUGGAAAGUUUCGGCGGUUGGGGAUGGACUCGCGGCUUAUCAGCUUGUUGGUGGGGUAGUGGCUUACCAAGGCUUUGACGGGUAGCCGGCCUGAGAGGGUGACCGGCCACAUUGGGACUGAGAUACGGCCCAGACUCCUACGGGAGGCAGCAGUGGGGAAUAUUGCACAAUGGGCUGAAGCCCGAUGCAGCAACGCCGCGUGCGGGAUGACGGCCUUCGGGUUGUAAACCGCUUUCGCCUGUGACGAAGCGUGAGUGACGGUAAUGGGUAAAGAAGCACCGGCUAACUACGUG
rnacentral:rRNA from 1 species